GUUCAAAUGAAAGAUUCAAUUUCAACUAUAAAAAUGCAUGGUCAAAUAGGUACCAGGAGUUUCAACCAUUAGAAUAAAGACAUACAUUCAAAUAUAUGGAUUAAUAUUACAUCUCAAGUUUUAGGAGAUAAGUCGUUUAAUUUAUAAAUAAUUUACAUGGUUAAAAGCAAAAGAUAACUAAACAAAAUAAGAGGCCACCAGUUCAAAA
rnacentral:lncRNA from 1 species